rfam:Chlorocebus sabaeus isolate 1994-021 chromosome 10, whole genome shotgun sequence.
GGUAAAACGGCUGAGCAAGCCUUAGACUGUAAAUCUAAAGACAGAGGUUAAGGCCUCUUUUUACCA